GAACGCUUAGCGGGCAGGGCUUAAUACAUGCAAGUCGUGGGGCAGCCAUGAGUAGCAAUACUUGAUGGCGACCGGCAAACGGGUGAGGAACACGGUACACAACCUUCCUUCAAGCGGGGAAUAGCCCAGAGAAAUUUGGGAUUAAUACCCCAUAAUAUAUUUGAUAAGGCAUCUUAUUAAUAUUAAAGCUUCGGCACUUGAUGAUGGGUGUGCGGCUGAUUAGAUAGUUGGCGGGGUAACGGCCCACCAAGUCUACGAUCAGUAGCUGAUGUGAGAGCAUGAUCAGCCACACGGGCACUGAGACACGGGCCCGACUCCUACGGGAGGCAGCAGUAAGGAAUAUUGGACAAUGGACGAAAGUCUGAUCCAGCCAUGCCGCGUGAAGGAUUAAGGUCCUCUGGAUUGUAAACUUCUUUAUAUGGGACGAAAAAGGGCAUUCUUGUUCACUUGACGGUACCAUAUGAAUAAGCACCGGCUAACUCCGUG
rnacentral:rRNA from 1 species